rnacentral:rRNA from 1 species
GAUGAACGCUGGCGGCGUGCCUAAUACAUGCAAGUCGAGCGAACGGACGAGAAGCUUGCUUCUCUGAUGUUAGCGGCGGACGGGUGAGUAACACGUGGAUAACCUACCUAUAAGACUGGGAUAACUUCGGGAAACCGGAGCUAAUACCGGAUAAUAUUUUGAACCGCAUGGUUCAAAAGUGAAAGACGGUCUUGCUGUCACUUAUAGAUGUAUCCGCGCUGCAUUAGCAAGUUGGUAAGUUAACGGCUUACCAAGGCAACGAUGCAUAGCCGACCUGAGAGGGUGACCGGCCACACUGGAACUGAGACACGGUCCAGACUCCUGCGGGAGGCAGCAGUAGGGUAUCGUCCGCAAUGGGCGAAAGCCUGACGGAGCAACGCCGCGUGGGUUAUGAAGGUCUUCGAAUCGUAAAACUCUGUUAUUAGGGAAGAACAUAUGUGUAAGUAACUGUGCACAUCUUGACGUUACCUAAUCAGAAAGCCACGGCUAACUACGUG